CAUAUCCCAGGGCCAUUGUCAUGGUCUUCCAAAUAGCACCCCUGCUGCUAGAGCUUCUGGCACAGAAAACUCAGAGUGGUCAGCUACUCCUUGGUGACCCAUGGAGGGUGGCUGGGGAAGGGUGUCAGUGAUAGAGGCCUCUGAGCCGUGUAGACCUGGGUUAUGGCCCAGCCCUGCCGAGCCGAGCCUCCCUUACUGCAGAACUCAAAGGACCUUAACAGAAUCUCCAUUCCUUUAAUUAUCUAAAUAUUUAGUUGGUGCCUACUAUGUGCCAAGUGCUGGACAAGGUGCUGGGGACAGAGCUGUGCACAACCCAGACCCAGUCUCUGCCCUGGUGGAGCUGACCUUCCAGUGGGGGUGACAGGUACUAAAUAAUUGUAGGCUGCAGUAAGGACUGAGAGAAAAAUGAAACAGGAUAUAAAAUACAGAGAGUGCCUGGGUUAGGGGCAUCAUCUUAGGUAGGGUAGCCAGGGCAGGCCUCUCUGAGGAGGUGACAUUUGUGCUAAGACUUAGUACAGAAGAAGGAGCUCAUCAUACAAAAUCUGGGGAAAAACUAUUCCAGGGAUAAGGAAGAAAAAGUGCAAAGACCCUGGUGCAAUGAUACUGACAUAUAUUAUAUCAAGAAAUGUAUAUUUAGUCUUUCUCCAGGUUCCUGUCACAGAGGUCUUAAACCCUUGGAAUUUCCUAAGUGAUAGAGGUGAGAGGAGCAUCUUUUGUUUUUCAUAAUAAGCUCCUUUCAACCAUACCUGACUUUAUGCUAAUGAGGUUACCCUUGGAGAAUGGGGAUUGGUUGCCAGAGGAUCCAACCAGGUGAGUUCCAUCCCCCCCCAACCUCUAGGGUCCAAGAAAGGGACUGGAAAUUGACUAAUCACUGAAGGUCAAAGAAGCGUGGAUCACAAUCCAGGACUUGUGGCUGGUGUCUGAAGUAGGGGGCAGUCUUGUGGGACUGAGCCCUUACCCUGUGGGUCUGCACUCACUGUAGGUAGUUAGUGCCAGAAUUAAAUUGUAGGAUGCCCAGUUGGUGACCAGGGAGCUGAAGAGUUGCGGAAUGCCAGCGGAAAACCCAUAUAUUUGGUAUCAGAAGUAUUGUGCGUAUACAGGAAAAAUACAGGAAAACACUUUUUUCCUUCUGGGCAGGAUAAAGUUUGAGUCGUUCCAGCAACAGAAAGAAGCUGGUGGGACUGGAGGGGAAUUGAGAAGCAGGAGAGGGGUGGGCAGGGACCGGGUAUCACUUCCCUGGGCGGCUCUGGCAGGGAGUUUGCAUUUUAUU
rnacentral:lncRNA from 1 species